UACAUGGGGUGCAAGCGUUGCUCGGAAUUAUUGGGCGUAAAGCGCGCGUAGGCGGUUACUCAAGUCGGAUGUGAAAGCCCUCGGCUUAACUGAGGAAGUGCACCCGAAACUGAGUAGCUAGAGUACUAAAGAGGGUCGCGGAAUUCCCGGUGUAGAGGUGAAAUUCGUAGAUAUCGGGAGGAACACCAGUGGCGAAGGCGGCUCACUGGUCCGGUACUGACGCUGAGGUGCGAAAGCGUGGGGAGCAAACAGG
rnacentral:rRNA from 1 species